rnacentral:tRNA from 3 species
GCUGCUGUGGCACAGUAGGUAGCGCAACGCCUUGGUAAGGCGUAGGUCGGCGGUUCAAGUCCGCUCAGCAGCUCCA